rnacentral:tRNA from 1 species
GCGCCCAUAGCUCAGCUGGAUAGAGCGACGGACUACGAAUCCGUAGGUCAGAGGUUCAAAUCCUCUUGGGCGCGCCACCC